rnacentral:rRNA from 1 species
ACUCCUACGGGAGGCAGCAGUGGGGAAUUUUGCGCAAUGGGCGAAAGCCUGACGCAGCAACGCCGCGUGGGUGAUGAAGGUCUUCGGAUCGUAAAACCCUGUCGUCGGGGACGAAGGUGGAGGGGUUAAUAGCCUCUUUGCUCGACGGUACCCGGAGAGGAAGCCCCGGCUAACUCUGUGCCAGCAGCCGCGGUAAUACAGAGGGGGCAAGCGUUAUUCGGAAUUAUUGGGCGUAAAGGGCGCGUAGGCGSCUUUUUAAGUGAGAUGUGUAAUCCCUGAGCUCAACUUGGGAACUGCAUCUCAUACUGGGAGGCUAGAGUACUGGAGAGGGUGGUAGAAUUCCMCGUGUAGCGGUGAAAUGCGUAGAGAUGUGGAGGAAUACCAGUGGCGAAGGCGGCCMCCUGGMCAGUAACUGACGCUGAGGCGCGAAAGUGUGGGUASCAAMCAGGAUUAGAUACCCUGGUAGUCCMCACUGUAAACGAUGAACACUUGGUGUGGAGGGAGUUGACCCCUUCCGUSCCGUAGCUAACGCGUUAAGUGUUCCSCCUGGGGAGUACGGUCGCAAGGCUGAAACUCAAAUGAAUUGACGG